rnacentral:lncRNA from 1 species
ACAAGAAAAAUAAAUUCGCGUAGCUCUUUAUCAAUUCCAGAAAACUUGGUGAAUAAUGAUCUUCAAGCACGAAAACUGAUAAAGAAAAAAAAUGUAAAAACGUCGUACGAAAAUAAGUUUCAACACACGUGUUAAAAACCUAAUAGACUUGUCCACUGGAAAACGAGAUUAUCGGGUUUGUCUCAGUCGCAUUCCCGUAUUUUAUCCAAAUGGACGAUAAUUUUUUUAUUAUCUAUGAAACAAGAAAAUUCCAAAUGAUUUGUUAAUAUUCAGUACUUCAACUUGAUGCCUUUACCCUGUCCACAUUUGGACAAGUCUAUUUCUAUGAGAUGAUGAUCUUACGGACUGAUGACAAAUAAGGGAAACGAACUUAUUGUGUAAUUGGUUUUAAAAACAAGU